rnacentral:rRNA from 1 species
CCUACGGGAGGCAGCAGUGAGGAAUAUUGGUCAAUGGGCGCUAGCCUGACCCAGCCAAGCAGCGUGAAGGAUGACAGCCCUAUGGGUUGUAACCUUCUUUUAUAUGGGAAUAACGUGCAGUAUGUAUACUGCUUUGCAUGUACCUUAUGAAUAAGCAUCGGCUAACUCCGUACCAGCAGCCGCGGUAAUACGGCGGAUUCGAGCGUUAGCCGGAUGUAUUGGGUUUAAGGGGAGCGGAGGCGGGUUGUUAAGUCAGUUGUGAAAGUUAGGGGCUCAACCGUAAAAUUGCAGUUGAUACUGGAAUCCUUGAGUACAGGAGAGGUAGGCGGAAUUCGUGGUGUAGCGGUGAAAUGCUUAGAUAUCACGAAGAACUCCGAUUGCGAAGGCAGCCUGCUGGACUGUAACUGACGCUGAGGCUCGAAAGUGUGGGUAUCAAACAGGAUUAGAUACCCCGGUAGUC